UCCGGUUUGUCACCGGCAGUCUCGCAUGAGUCCCCAACUAAAUGCUAGCAACAUGCGACGGGGGUUGCGCUCGUUGCGGGACUUAACCCAACAUCUCACGACACGAGCUGACGACAGCCAUGCACCACCUGUGAUCCUGCCCCGAAGGGAAGCCCUAUCUCUAGGGAUGUCUGGCGCAUGUCAAGCCCAGGUAAGGUUCUUCGCGUUGCGUCGAAUUGAACCACAUGCUCCACCGCUUGUGCGGGCCCCCGUCAAUUCCUUUGAGUUUCAGCCUUGCGACUGUAUUCCCCAGGCGGCACAUUUAACGCGUUAGCUCCGGCACAGACCGACUGAACGGCCUACACCAAAUGUGCAUCGUUUAGGGCGUGGACUAC
rnacentral:misc_RNA from 1 species